GCCGUGGCGUCCCCGCAUACGCCUGGGGUUGGCGAGAGCCGGUCCGGCCGCCCGGUCCCGUACCGCCGCUCGGAGCGCCCGGAGGGGGGUGGGGAACCCACCGGGCCGGAGGCGUUCCGCACACGCACAGCCCCGCGGUCAGCGGAGUCGCGUUGUUGCCGCCGGUUCUGGCUCUGAACGUUUCAUUGCGGGGGAGCGCACCGCGUUUCACCGGGGGGUGGCAGCCCGGUAGCGCCCGGCACGGCUUCGUUCCCCGCACUGAGCGACGCGGGGCAGCGCGGGGGGCGUGGAGCAGCGGCACACGGUGCGUUACGGGCAUGGGAGGAGAUGAGUCAGCACCGCGGGGAGUUCGCAGCCGCGGGCCCGGAGCCUGCGGGUAAUAACCGUGCGGGAGAGCCACGGGGCGACGAACCUCCGCAGCCCGACCGCCUCGGGUUGAGCGGGUCAUGGCGCGUCCCGCCCGCCCGCAACCCGGGCCGCCCGUGUCGGAACAACCCACGUUCCUGGAAUGCCGUGCAUCC
rnacentral:lncRNA from 1 species